GAGAACGCACUUUGAAUGGAUAA
rnacentral:siRNA from 1 species